rnacentral:rRNA from 1 species
UACAGAGGUCGCAAGCGUUGUUCGGAUUCACUGGGCGUAAAGGGUGCGUAGGCGGUCGGGCAAGUCUGAUGUGAAAUCUCACAGCUUAACUGUGAAACUGCAUUGGAUACUAUCCGGCUCGAGGAAUGGAGGGGAGACUGGAAUACUUGGUGUAGCAGUGAAAUGCGUAGAUAUCAAGUGGAACACCAGUGGCGAAGGCGAGUCUCUGGACAUUUCCUGACGCUGAGGCACGAAAGCCAGGGGAGCAAACGGG